UAAGGGCCCAGAUGUGUCCUGUUGGAGUGUAUGUGUCUAUGGCUGGUGCGGGCUGUCCCCAGGAGUGCCGAGUUGGCUGUGUGUGUUUGCUUUGGUAUGUCGCCAGAUGCGAAGCGGCCAGAGAGAAGUCAACCCUGCGCCUGAAUUCCCAGCAGGAUUGA
rnacentral:lncRNA from 1 species